rnacentral:rRNA from 1 species
UAGGGAAUCUUCCGCAAUGGACGAAAGUCUGACGGAGCAACGCCGCGUGAGUGAUGAAGGUUUUCGGAUCGUAAAGCUCUGUUGUUAGGGAAGAACAAGUAUCUGUUAAAUAAGCAGGUACCUUGACGGUACCUAACCAGAAAGCCACGGCCAACUACGUGCCAGCAGCCGCGGUAAUACGUAGGUGGCAAGCGUUGUCCGGAAUUAUUGGGCGUAAAGCGCGCGCAGGCGGUUCCUUAAGUCUGAUGUGAAAGCCCACGGCUCAAGAGGGGAGGGUCAUUGGACACGGGGGAGAUUGAGAGCAGAAGAGGGGAGCGGAAUUCCACGUGGAGAGGGGAGAGGCGGAGAGAGGUGGAGGGAGAGCAGGGGCGGAGGCGGCGCUCUGGUGGGUAACUGAGUCUGGGGGGCGAAGGCGGGGGGAGCGAAC